UAGGCCUAGGAUCAUGAAACUUCAUAGGUACAUUGAUCAUGACUCGCAGAUGACCCCUAUUGAUUUUGAGGUCACUAGGUCAAAGGUCAAGGUCACUGUGACCCGAAAUAAUAAAAUGGUUUCCGGAUGAUAAUUCAAAAACGCUUAUGCCUAGGAUCAUGAAACUUGAUAGGUAGAUUGAUCAUGACUAGCAGAUGACCUCUAUUGAUUUUCAGGUCACUAGGUCAAAGGUCAAGGUCACGGUGACCCGAAAUAGUAAAAUGGUUUCCGGAUGAUAACUCAAGAACGCUUAUGCCUAGGAUCAUGAAACUUGAUAGGUACAUUGAUCAUGACUGGCAGAUGACCCCUAUUGAUUUUGAGGUCACUCUGUCAAAGGUCAAGGUCACGGUGACCCGAAAUAGUAAAAUGGUUUCCGGAUGAUAACUCAAGAAGGCUUAUGCCUAGGAUCAUGAAACUUGAUAGGUAGAUUGAUCAUGACUCGCAGAUGACCCCUAUUGAUUUUCAGGUCACUAGGUCAAAGGUCAAGGUCACGGUGACCCGAAAUAGUAAAAUGGUUUCCGGAUGAUAACUCAAGAACACUUAUGCCUAGGAUCAUGAAACUUGAUAGGUAGAUUGAUCAUGACUCGCAGAUGACCCCUAUUGAUUUUCAGGUCACAAGGUCAAAGGUCACGGUGACCCGAAAUAGUAAAAUGGUUUCCGGAUGAUAACUCAAGAACGCUUAUGCCUAGGAUCAUGAAACUUGAUAGGUACAUUGAUCAUGACUGGCAGAUGACCCCUAUUGAUUUUCAGGUCGCUAGGUCAAAGGUCAAGGUCACAGUGACCCGAAAUAGUAAAAUGGUUUCCCGAUGAAAACUCAAGAAAGCUUAUGGCUAGGAUCAUGAAACUUCAUAGGUGCAUUGAUCAUGACUCACAGAUGACCCCUAUUGAUUUUCAGGUCACUAGGUCAAAGGUCAAAGUCACAGUGACAAAAAACAUAUUUACAAAAUGGCUGUCACUACAACUGAGAGCCCAUAUGGGGGACAUGCAUGUUUUACAAACAGCCCUUGUUG